ACACUCGUCACAUGCAUUUUCAUGAUUUUGAGGACCAGAUUCAGGAUACAUGUAGAUGAGGGGCAACAGACUUUCUAUUGGCAGUUCCUAGUUGAAGCUCUUGCAGUUUGACUACAUGUAGACAAAGUGAUGGAGUAAUGAGUUCCUUUUCAGGUCGUGGUCUUCAUGCCAUGGAGUGGAACGUAGCUCUAGAUUAACAUUCAAAGAUGAGGAAAUGAGAUACAUGUAAUACUGCAUCAUACGAAUGCGAGUCCACCAUAUGAUGAGAAUGUAGGCCUACUUGCAGAGCCAGAGGUUUAACAUGGAUUUUAUGCCUCUACAUGUAGAUAAUGUUCUUACUUUGAGAAGACCAUUCCUUCCCGAGGAUGUAACAGAAGAUCAUACUUGAUGUCAAUGGCUGUAUUCGUGAAGCAGCAGUGAAAUGAGGAUUACAUUCCAGAAUUCUGGAUAAUCCAGACCAAAUCCAGAAAUGUCAAGGUUGCACUAUUUCUGGUUCAGGAGGAAAGGGCUUAUUCAAAUUUGGAGAAGUGCAGUUGGACU
rnacentral:lncRNA from 1 species